rnacentral:lncRNA from 1 species
UGAAAUCAAUGCUGAGGGCAAUCUUACCGGGUUGGACGGUUGCCUCUUCAACGAGAAAGAUUUGGGGACAUCCCUGUUAUUAAUCCGACCCUUGAAGAACUCGACCACCCUGUCGGCGACCACUAAGGUGCGGAUCUUGCGCUGGACCUCUCGAGUCGGAUAACCUAGCCCCGAGUACUCAUACAUUAGGUGCACUCGGUGCUUGAUCGGUUGCGUCAUCCCCUAA